rnacentral:snRNA from 1 species
AGAUCAUCUGAGCCUGGGAGGUUGAGGCUGCAGUGAACCAUGAUCGUGUCACUGCACUCCAGCCCAGGCAACAAGA